CCAUGUGUCCCAAGCUUCUGUGACCAUCCGGAUCGCAGAUAAAGAGGUGACCAUUAAGGUGCCAGCUGGGACCAGGCCAUUAAGUCAACCUUGUGCAUCAGACCGUUUCAUACAGACUUUGAGCCAUAAGCAGCUACAGGCUGAAAUGAUGCAGUCUCAUAUGGUUAAAGAUAUAUGUUUAAUUGGAGGAAAGGGUUGUGGAAAAACAGUGAUCGCUAAGAACUUUGCCGAUACCUUAGGAUACAACAUAGAACCUAUUAUGCUCUAUCAGGUACAGUGUUCAUUUUUAGCUGCACUUGGACUAUAAGCAUAUAUGCUUAGGCCAUCAGCAGAAUUUAUGGAUAUCUUGUUAUGACCUGUGUUUUUUUAUAUAGGUAAAGAACCAAAAUAGUAAUAAAAUUAUUCAGAUUAAA
rnacentral:sRNA from 1 species